CUCUCCUAUCAUUUGUCAGUUAGAACUGCCAUCAAGAGUUCUCUCUCUGCAAGAAUCCUGUUCCCAGUGAACGUAGAUGCAUUGCUUAAUGGUCUACUGCUCACUAGAAGUUUUAUGGACACCUACCAAACAAAAGAAUAUGGUGGGAUGUGCAUGAAAAGAGAUCAAAGGAGUGGAUAUAGUAUAGGCAAAGGGAAAAGAAUGUAUUGCUAAAC